rfam:Bacillus subterraneus strain MITOT1 contig_105, whole genome shotgun sequence.
CCCGUGCUACAACCGCUCACAACAGGUCAUUAAGCUUUGCGAUCUGCAAACGCCUGCUGAUGGCGAGUCUGAGUCUAAUG